AACGAACGCUGGCGGUAUGCUUUACACAUGCAAGUCGAACGAAAAAAGCUCAAAGCUUGCUUUGGUCUUUUUUAGUGGCAAACGGGUGAGUAACACGUGGGAAUCUACCCAUCAGUACGGAAUAACUUUUGGAAACAAAAGCUAAUACCGUAUAUUCUCGAAAGAGGAAAGAUUUAUCGCUGAUGGAUGAGCCCGCGUCUGAUUAUGGUAGUUGGUAGGGUAAAGGCCUACCAAGCCUUCGAUCAGUAGCUGGUCUGAGAGGAUGGUCAGCCACACUGGGACUGAGACACGGCCCAGACUCCUACGGGAGGCAGCAGUGAGGAAUAUUGGACAAUGGGCGAAAGCCUGAUCCAGCAAUACCGCGUGAAUGAUGAAGGCCUUAGGGUUGUAAAGUUCUUUUAGUAGGGAAGAUAAUGACGGUACCUACAGAAAAAGCCCCGGCUAACUCCGUGCCAGCCGCCGCCGUAA
rnacentral:rRNA from 1 species